AAAGGAGGUUUCUUUGUAUCUGAAAAAUAAAAAUAAAAAUAAAAAGAUUACAAAAAAUUGGAAAAGCAAAUGACCUACUCGUACAGCCGUCCCCCUCUCACUUCUCAUUUCCUCCAAAAAAAGAAACCGUUUUUGGGGACUUCCUCUGUUUUUCCAUCAUUGAGUCGGUAAUUGAUUAGUCUCUGUCACUUUCUCUCUCUUCAAUCCCCUUCAGAUCCUAGGGGUGUUUGUCAUUGCAGGUGUGUUUGCUAAAAAAGAGACAUCUAUUCCUUCCAUUUUUGCUGCAGCUUCAUCCUCAUGUAUAGCCCCAUCAGGUUCUGGAUUGUCUCGCUUGAUAUUCUUGUUCGAUCGUCGGAUCAAAUCAGUUUCCUCCAUUAAAUAUUAGAUUUUGCAGGAUUUCGAGUCAGCAGCUAAAUCUUCAAAAAUCUCAUUUCAGUGUAAGCCCUAACACUCAUAUUCAAGAUCGACAAGAUUUUAGGACCAUCUUGCAAAUGGAACUGGUUCCAAACCUAGAGCCACAUUUAGGAGUUCUUAUCGAUCUCACAAGGAAAAAGAGCUUGAAUUUUCAAUUCAUUAUCGAUAAGGUAGUUAACAAGGUUAGCUCUUGGAACUCGGUCUACCUUUCCCAAACUCAAAAACUUAAUUCUUAUUAGUUUUCUGCUCAUUACAAUGCCUUCCCAUGUCCUCAACUGUAUGGAAUUACCACUUUCAGUAUUAGAACUUAGUUGGAAGACUCAUAGGACUAGACUAACCAUUACUUUCGAGAGUGUGUUGUAUUUUUUUCCCAUUUAGUCAAGUUUUAUAUUUUUUUUCCUUAUAUGGACAAUAUUUAAACUAUUACUCGACCAAACUGACCGGAAAAUACAAUACCCAAAUAAGUAGGUAGCUAAAGUUUUGGAACAGUUUAGGGUCGACAUCUUUAGAAAUCGAAAGUAAUGGUUACUCGAAAUAAAUUCCUAAUAACUAACUAUGUGAAUAUAAUGAUGCGUCUUACCCUAAUACGGGUGCCUAGGGAUCAUAUAUAAUAUCGUACAGUAGUACAAUUACGAGUAUACCCUAAGUAUCCCCUGUUACACCCCUCAAUCUGUGCAACUCAGCUAACAAGUAACGAAUCCAUAUAGUAUCCUGUACCAUGUCUACAACGUCGCAAUACUCUGUUUCUGUGGAGCAUUUCGAUACCAUGGGUUGCUUCUUCGAGCGUCAUGAAAUGAGGUUGCCUCCGAGAAAAAUUGCACAAAAUUGCUCCCUUCGCCCGAUCGGGCCGCAUGCAAACUGCACGAUUCCCUAUCUUCAAAAUUCCAUAUCUCCUUCGCAUUUAGUCGAAAUUAGGCGAAUGACCAUUCGUUGGAAAGAUCUUGAAAUCUUGAAUCCAACCCAAUUAGAAUCAUUGCAUUUGGAUUUGUAUAACUUGAGUUAUGAUUGAAAUAAUGGACUAUAGUCAUUUUUAUACUUCUUUCAUUAUUCUCUUUGCUUCAAAACUCUUCCAACUCAAUGUUCGUGCUCUCAAAAGUACAUCACCUCUUGCAGUGGUUUAAAUGAGUACGAAAUGCAUUCAAAUAUGCCAAUUCCUACAAUGGUAAACCUGAAACUACAAACACACUAUAAUGAGCACAAUAAUACUAAAAUUGGCUCUGAAGAGCGCAAUUAAAACCAACAAUCAACGAGGUACUGGGGUGAAAACUCUAUAUAAAAUAGGCACAUCAUAAGUCUACGCCAUGUUAUAAAAUUAAAAUGUUAAGUUUAUACCAUGGUCGAAACUCUAAAUUCAUAACUCUCUAAUUUUUCAUUUUUCCGGGUUAAUUAUUUCGAAUUGAAAAACGAAUCAAACCCCUAAAUAAAUAGACUUAUGCAUAUAUUAAGCUCACACCAUGGAGUAGACUUAUGCGUUUAAGCUCCUACCAUGGUAUGAGUUAAAAAUGGAUAAGUCUAUACCAUGAUCGAAUCUCCAAAUUCAAAAGUCUUCAGUUUUUUUCCCGGGUUAAUUAAUUCAAAUUCAACAACAAAUCGAACCUCUCAAUAAAAUACAAUUUUUCAUAUUAAGCUCACACCAUGGAAUAUACUUAUGCAUUUUAAGCUCUUGUCAUGGUAUGAGCAUAAAAUGCAUAAGUCUAUACCAUGGUCGAAGCUCUAAAUUCAUAAGUCUCUAAAUUUUUUUGACUAUAUUAAUUAACUCAAAACCAAUACAAAUCAAAACCCUAAAUAGCAUAGACUUUUACAUAUUAAGCUUUUACCAUGGUACAUACUUAUGUAUUUUGAGUUCCUGCCAUGGUACAAGCUUAAAAUGUGUAUUUCUGUGAAUUUUUUUCCGAACAAAGAAAAAAGAAUUACUUUCUUCGAGGUUCUGUCGGUAGACUCGGACAUAUAACAACUGCGACGCAUUUUCUCACUGGUGACAUUAGCCUCGAUGCAGUGACCGGAUUGACAUGGAGGUGGCCGGAGGUAGUGGUGGUCGGAGUUGGAGCUGGUCAGAAAUGUGGUGGGGAGGUUGGAGAUGGAAGAAGGUAAAUGGGGAAAGGGUAAGGUAAAUAUGGGAGGAUAUAUGGGUAAAUAAAUGGGACGGUUAAUAGUAAGCACCUUUAAAGUGGUAUACAAAAUAUUAUAUAUGGGAAUAAAAGUCAUCUCAAAAAGUUUAAAUUUUUAGUGCUUAAAUUAUUCAUUUUAACAAAUAGUGUUCAUUCAAAAUCUAUAAUAAUGUAUAAAGGUUUCACUUAACCCUUUAUAAUGUUUAUCUCUCAAUUUCUUUUUUAUAAUAUAAAAGUUAAUGAAAACAUGUUUAAAAUUAUAAAAAGCUGAAUAAAAGUUAUGCGUGGGAAAGAUUUUGUUUCAAAAUUUGGUAAUGAACCCACUUAUAGGGGUGUCAAAUAGAAUCAACGGAUCGGGUUUGAGUCGAUUCAUCGGAUUCGGCUUGAAACGGCUCAGAUUGGAACAGGUUCAAUUGGCUAACAUGUCGGAUCGGAUCGGAUUUAAACCUUAACGGAUCGGGUUGGGUCGGAUUUUUUAUGCACGGGUUCAUAUCGGAUCGGGGUGUAAAGGGGUCAGAUUGUAGUCGGGUUGGGUGAGGUUGGGUUGGGUUGGAUCGGAUCGGAUUGGAACAUGACGGAUUGUUAACGGAUUUAGCCGAACUAUAACGGGUUCGAGUUCAUACCGGUUCGGACUAAUAUCGGGUCAGAUUCAUAUCGGAUCGGAUUAAUCGGGUAGCGGACUAAAACGGGUCGGAAAGAAACAGAUGUAGUUGGGUUACAUCAGAUUCAUGUUCAUAUCAGUUCGGGUUAUUAUUGGAUCGGGUUAAUCGGUAGCGGGUUGAAAUAUAGGUAGGGUCCAUUCGCUUCCAAAUUAUAUAAUUAUAAUAUCGAUGACUUAACUAGCUAGGAGACGAAAAUGAUAACUAACUUUUAAAAGUAUUAAGAAUUUAAGAUCAACACUAUAACUUACUGAUAUAUAUAUAACUUAGUUUAAUAUUACAUAAUCGAUAAUGAUGAAAUAAAGUUUAUUAUAUCGUAUUAACAAAGCAUUUAUUAAUGAACUAAUAAAGUACUCCCUCCGUUUCUUUUUGUUAUUUCCGUUUGACCUUUUGCACGUUUUUUAGCAUCUAAUUAAUGUGCAUUGAGGUUUCUCUAUUUUUUUUUAAUUUAAACAAGGAAAAUUACAUUUAUUUAUAAUAUUUCACCUUUAUCAAAAAUCUGAUAUUGGGAAAUGAUAAAAAAAAUAAAAAAAAAUAAUGUCCCAAUAGAAAAGUGUGAGAGAUUAAAUGAUCUAAUAAAUUUAAUUGGUUAAAAUAAUCAUUGAACACAAAUUUUAAUAGAAUAUUAAAGCAUUUAUGUGAUAAUAUAAAAGGGAAUGUAAAAAACAUUUUGAAACACCCAAAAAAGAAAACGUAAAGAACAAAAAGAAAAGUAGGGAGUAACAGUUAACGAGUAUAAUCUGUAACGAACUAAAAAAUAUAACGUGUACAUGUGAUUACUUUAACAAACUAAUAAUAACUUAUGGAUAGAAGGUAAGUGACGUGACAAGUUGUUUGAUAAUUUACUAUCAGAUAGUCUUUUACAAAUAUUUACAUAACAAAAUACAUCAGUUACAACUUUCAUUUGAGCGAAGUAUAUAAUGGUAGACAUGAAGUACAAAUAUAACUAAUAUAUAGUCAUACACUUAAUUGGUAAUGCAUCACAAUUGAUGUUU